rnacentral:rRNA from 1 species
GACAGAGGAUGCAAGCGUUGUCCGGAAUUAUUGGGCGUAAAGAGCUCGUAGGCGGUUUGUCGCGUCUGCUGUGAAAACCCGAGGCUCAACCUCGGGCCUGCAGUGGGUACGGGCAGACUAGAGUGCGGUAGGGGAGAUUGGAAUUCCUGGUGUAGCGGUGGAAUGCGCAGAUAUCAGGAGGAACACCAAUGGCGAAGGCAGAUCUCUGGGCCGUAACUGACGCUGAGGAGCGAAAGUAUGGGGAGCGAACAGG